AGGAGGAAAAGAAACCAACAGGGAUUGCCUUAGUAACGGCGAGUGAAGCGGCAACAGCUCAAAUUUGAAAUCUGGCUCUUUCAGAGUCCGAGUUGUAAUUUGCAGAGGGCGCUUUGGCUUUGGCAGCGGUCCAAGUUCCUUGGAACAGGACGUCACAGAGGGUGAGAAUCCCGUACGUGGUCGCUAGCUAUUGCCGUGUAAAGCCCCUUCGACGAGUCGAGUUGUUUGGGAAUGCAGCUCUAAAUGGGAGGUAAAUUUCUUCUAAAGCUAAAUAUUGGCCAGAGACCGAUAGCGCACAAGUAGAGUGAUCGAAAGAUGAAAAGCACUUUGGAAAGAGAGUCAAACAGCACGUGAAAUUGUUGAAAGGGAAGCGCUUGCAGCCAGACUUGCUUGCAGUUGCUCAUCCGGGCUUUUGCCCGGUGCACUCUUCUGCAGGCAGGCCAGCAUCAGUUUGGGCGGUGGGAUAAAGGUCUCUGACACGUUCCUUCCUUCGGGUUGGCCAUAUAGGGGAGACGUCAUACCACCAGCCUGGACUGAGGUCCGCGCAUCUGCUAGGAUGCUGGCGUAAUGGCUGUAAGCGGCCCGUCUU
rnacentral:rRNA from 1 species